AAAUUGGCAAUAGUUGAAAAAUGGUAUACCUAAAAAAACUCCUCAUUCACCCACUUUCACUCCCCCAUUGCCGACUCUUUCUCUCUCUCUAAUCUAUCAUUCUAUUUCUUCUUCGGUGGACGGCGAGAACUUGACGCCUGAGUCGUAGAAGAGGACCAUGGCCACAGUCGGCGCGGAGGGAGGCGUCUUCGGCCUUGCAGGUGAAGGAGGUCGGGGUCUGCUCGCACAUCUCAAAAAAUCAGACGCAGCCAUGGCGCAACGCCAGCUUGGUGGCGGCGUGGAUCUGAGCAGGAAGCCGACACCAAGAUCUGCUACAGUAAUUAGUUGAUUCUAUGGAAAUCGUUCGUAGAUUUGUGCAUGGUUUGCCAUUUUCUUAGUUUGAAUUUCUCCUUCUAUUUGUUUCUAAUUUCGUUGGUUCUAGUAUUUGUCUUUCAAUGUUCAAGGAUUUAUCAUUUUUCUGUAAUUCAUUUGUUUGCAGAGGAUCUUCAUUCUGCAUUUUCUGUUA